rnacentral:rRNA from 1 species
UGACCUCGGAUCAGGUAGGAAUACCCGCUGAACUUAAGCAUAUCAAUAAGCGGAGGAAAAGAAACCAACAGGGAUUGCCCUAGUAACGGCGAGUGAAGCGGCAACAGCUCAAAUUUGAAAUCUGGCUACUUUGUAGUCCGAGUUGUAAUUUGUAGAGGAUGCUUUUGGUGAAGUGCUUUCUGAGUUCCCUGGAACGGGACGCCAGAGAGGGUGAGAGCCCCGUACAGUUAGCAACUGAUCCUUUGUAUAGCUCCUUCGACGAGUCGAGUAGUUUGGGAAUGCUGCUCUAAAUGGGAGGUAUAUCUCUUCUAAAGCUAAAUAUAGGCUAGAGACCGAUAGCGCACAAGUAGAGUGAUCGAAAGAUGAAAAGCACUUUGAAAAGAGAGUUAAACAGCACGUGAAAUUGUUGAAAGGGAAGCGCCUAUGACCAGACUUGUCUCUAUCAGUUUUGGUAGUUUUCGGACUGCUUUACUCUGUUAGUACAGGCCAACAUCAGUUUGUUGUCGGGAGAAAGGCUUAGGGAAUGUGGCUUCCU